AGUCUCCUUGGUUCCAUGAGGCCCCUCUGUGUCACAAUGAAGCCUUGAGAUUUUACUGCAUCACAAUGGUCUCCUGCUUUCUAUUAGACCUGGCUGUGCCAUAAUGGACACUUGUUUCCAUGAGCAGUGCCAUGGAGUCACAAUGGUCAUUUAGGUUCCAUGAAACCCCUCUCUUUUGACAAUUGACACUUGGUUUCAUGGGAUUCCAUUGUCCCACAAUGUUCUCCUGGGUUCCAAGAGGCCACGCCGUGUCACAAUGGCCCCUUGCUUCCACGAGCCAUGGCUUGGUCCCAGUUGCCCCUGGGUUCCAUAAGGCUAUGCUGUGUUCACAAUUGACACUUGGUUCCAUAAGAUUCCAUUCCAAUGGUCCCCAUGUCUCCAUGGGGCUGUGCAGCGUCACAAUGGACACAGGAUUCUACAAGAGCUGGCAAUAUCCCAGUGGCACCUGUGCGCUAUGAGCCCCUACUUUGUCUAAGUAGAUGCUUGGAUCCAUGAGAUUUCAGGUUGUCACAAUGGUCUGCUGAGUUCCAUGAGGCUGUGCUGUGUCACAAUGGACAUUGAGUUCCUCGUGCUGAUGGCUAGGUGACAAGAUAAUGCUUGAACUAUGCAAAGGCUGUAGCUAUGCAGAAAGUGUAGUUGCUUUGGAACAGGUUCCAGCUUGGAGGGAGCAGUACCGUUACGUUAGCUGUUCUGAACAAGGCCUGGCAAGAACUUGGCAAGGUGUUGGCAAGGACCUGGCAUGGACCCAGCAAGGAACAGCCUACUGCAUAUUCACCCACUCUCCACCAUUUAAGCCGAAUGAACUUUUGGGGUGACUCUAGUGGUCUCUCACUGAAGACCCCUCAUCUGCCUUGUUAUCACUGUGACUGACAGACGGAGAUCAAAAACCCUCCUCCUAAGGACUGAGACUGAGACCCCUACCACAGGGAGUGGGGAAACCACUAAUGACAUGACUUGUUCUUCUUCAGUGAUUCCAAUGGACUUAUUCUUCAUUGUGUUCGUCCAGCCUUGGUGGUUUCAGUGGACUCACCUGUUCCCCCGCAGCAAUCACAAUAGACUCUCAUUGUACUGCAUGUUCCCCUGUUUUUCCUCUGUGGACUAUAAAUGGACCCGAGUUGACCAGAACUUCAAAGACUUCCCCUACAUGACAGACCCCCAUCAUCCAGACCACUGAGGAUCUCACCUGUGUUGGUAGCUAUUCCCAUCCCCCUGUUCUCUCUCUCUCUCUAUCCUUUUAUCUCCUUUUUGAUCCCCCACUAUCGCAUUUACUGUUUUGGCCCCUAAUAAAGGUGCAUUUGUUGUGAUUAA